AGAGUUUGAUCCUGGCUCAGGACGAACGUUGGCGGCGUGCUUAACACAUGCAAGUCGAGCGGUUCUCGGAGUUUACUUCGAGGAUAGCGGCGGACGGGGGUCUCGUGUGAGUAACACGUGGAUAAUCUGCCUGUAAGACAGGGAUAACGCCGUGAAACCGGUGCUAAUACCCGAUAAACUCUUUGGAUCGCAUGAUAUGAUAGCUUAACAAUGCUACCACUUACAGAUGAAUCCGCGUCCCAUUAGCCAGUUGGUGGGGUAAAGGCCUACCAAAGCGACGAUGGGUAGCCGGCCUGAGAGGGUGACCGGCCACACUGGAACUGAGAUACGGUCCAGACUCCUACGGGAGGCAGCAGUGGGGAAUCUUCCGCAAUGGGCGAAAGCCUGACGGAGCAACGCCGCGUGAGCGAAGAAGGUUUUCGGAUUGUAAAGCUCUUUGAUAUUGGUGGGAAAAAGUGACGGUACCAGAGGAGGAAGCCACGGCUAACUACGUGCCAGCAGCCGCGGUAAUACGUAGGUGGCGAGCGUUGUCCGGAAUUACUGGGCGUAAAGGGCGCGUAGGCGGCUCUUUAAGUCAGAUGUGAAAACCCAGGGCUUAACUUCGGGAGUGCAUUUGAAACUGAAGGGCUCGAGUGCAGGAGAGGUAAGUGGAAUUCCUAGUGUAGCGGUGAAAUGCGUAGAUAUUAGGAGGAACACCGGUGGCGAAGGCGGCUAUCUGGACCGAUACUGACGCUGAGACACGAAAGCGUGGGUAGCAAACAGGAUUAGAUACCCUGGUAGUCCACGCUGUAAACGAUGAAAGCUAGGUGUUGCGGGUAUUGACCCCUGCAGUGCCGCAGCUAACGCAUUAAGUUCUCCGCCUGGGAAGUACGGUCGCAAGACUGAAACUCAAAGGAAUUGACGGGGGCCCGCACAAGCGGUGGAGUAUGUGGUUUAAUUCGACGCAACGCGCAGAACCUUACCAAGGCUUGACAUCCCGUGACAGCUAUAGAAAUAUGGUCUUCUUAGUUUACUAAGACACGGACACAGGUGGUGCAUGGUUGUCGUCAGCUCGUGUCGUGAGAUGUUGGGUUAAGUCCCGCAACGAGCGCAACCCUUGUUGCUAGUUACCAGCACACGUUAUGGUGGGAACUCUAGCGAGACUGCCGGUGACAAACCGGAGGAAGGUGGGGAUGACGUCAAAUCAUCACGCCCCUUACGACCAGGGCCACACACGUACUACAAUGCCCGGUACAGCGAGUUGCAAAGCCGCGAGGCAGAGCUAAUCUCUUAAAACCGGGCCAAGUUCGGAUCGGAGGCUGCAAUUCGCCUCCGUGAAGCUGGAAUCGCUAGUAAUCGCAGGUCAGCAUACUGCGGUGAAUACGUUCCCGGGCCUUGUACACACCGCCCGUCACACCAUGGGAGCUAGUAACACCCGAAGCCGGUGAGGUAACCCGUAAGGGAGCUAGCCGUCGAAGGUGGGGCCAAUAAUUGGGGUGAAGUCGUAACAAGGUAACC
rnacentral:rRNA from 1 species